GACGUAGGGUCCAAGCGUUGUCCGGAUUUAUUGGGCGUAAAGAGCGUGUAGGCGGCCAGAUAGGUCAGCUGUGAAAACUCGAGGCUCAACCUCGAGACGUCGGUUGAAACCAUCUGGCUAGAGUCCGGAAGAGGAGAGUGGAAUUCCCGGUGUAGCGGUGAAAUGCGCAGAUAUCGGGAAGAACACCCGUGGCGAAGGCGGCUACUCGUGGGACGGUACUGACGCUGAGACGCGAAAGCGUGGGGAGCGAACGAGGA
rnacentral:rRNA from 1 species